rnacentral:rRNA from 1 species
GCGCGGAGGACGAGCUGCGGCAGAGCGAGUUCUAUCUCGCCGAAGCGCAGCGGCUGACUCACACGGGCAGUUGGGUUUGGCAGGUUCCAGGACGAGACGCACUGUAUCUCUCGGAUGAAUGGUAUCGCAUAUACGGAUUUGAUCCGAAACAAGGGAUGCCAAAGUGGGAAGAACGGCUGCGGCGAGUACAUCCCGAGGAUCGAGACCGAUAGCGCACAAGUA